rnacentral:tRNA from 1 species
GCAGUCAUGGCCGAGUGGUUAAGGCGAUGAACUAGAAAUCCAUUGGGGUCUCCCCGCACAGGUUCAAAUCCUGUCGACUGCG